GCCGCCAUAGCUCAGCUGGUAGAGCACCUCGCUGUUAACGAGGUUGUCCCAGGUUCGAGCCCUGGUGGUGGCG
rnacentral:tRNA from 2 species